rnacentral:rRNA from 1 species
GGCUACGUGUGAGGCUCUGGGUCACCUCCACCCGUGUUUAUUUUACCUUGUUGCUUCGGCGGGCCCGCCUUAACUGGCCGCCGGGGGGCUCACGCCCCCGGGCCCGCGCCCGCCGAAGACACCCUCGAACUCUGUCUGAAGAUUGAAGUCUGAGUGAAAAUAUAAAUUAUUUAAAACUUUCAACAACGGAUCUCUUGGUUCCGGCAUCGAUGAAGAACGCAGCGAAAUGCGAUACGUAAUGUGAAUUGCAAAUUCAGUGAAUCAUCGAGUCUUUGAACGCACAUUGCGCCCCCUGGUAUUCCGGGGGGCAUGCCUGUCCGAGCGUCAUUGCUGCCCUCAAGCCCGGCUUGUGUGUUGGGCCCCGUCCUCCGAUCUCCGGGGGACGGGCCCGAAAGGCAGCGGCGGCACCGCGUCCGGUCCUCGAGCGUAUGGGGCUUUGUCACCCGCUCUGUAGGCCCGGCCGGCGCUUGCCGAUCAACCCAAAUUUUUAUCCAGGUUGACCUCGGAUCAGGUAGGGAUACCCGCUGAACUUAAGCAUAUCAAUAAGCGGAGGAA